rnacentral:rRNA from 1 species
GAGGACAUGGAGGCGUUACGGAAACUACUCCCCGUGCGAGGAUAGCUGGUUCCUUCCGAUCCGCCGCGCCCACCGUCCGGUGAAAGGGCCGAAGCGGGUCAAACCGCUGAGGUCGCCGGUCGGCGGGUUUUUAGCGCGCGGGCGACGGAAGCGCACUUCUCCCCUAGUAGGACGCCGCGACCCGUUGGAUUUUGAAAGAGCGGGCCUACGGCCUGGGGGCGUGCCCGGGGUUGCUCUUCGGAGCUCCCGCGGAUCCCCGGUGUCCUGGUCCGCUUCCGACGGUCGUCAUUCAUGGAACUCUCCCGCGCACUUUUGUGUGCGCCCGUGCCUCGCGCGAGCGUCAGCCCGCUAGUCGCGCGCGGACUUCGGUCCGCCGCGAUCGGGUGAGCGUUGUCGGCGUGGGGAUUUCUCGGGCUGAUGGAGCUAACUUUCCUGUCUGCGGCGCUUAAAACAGGGCGGCCCACCCGACCCGUCUUGAAACACGGACCAAGGAGUCUAACAUGUACGCGAGUCAUUGGGCACCACGAAACCCAAGGGCGCAUUGAACGAAAAGGCGGGCUUAACCACCCGCCGAGGGGAGAUGGGGUGGCGCUCGCGUUGCCCCCGCACCCCCGGGGCGUCUCACCCUACCCUUGCUUGUCUUGGGAAGGAGAGGCGCACCAAGAGCGUACACGUUGGGACCCGAAAGAUGGUGAACUAUGCCUGGCCAGGACGAAGUCAGGGGAAACCCUGAUGGAGGUCCGUAGCGAUUCUGACGUGCAAAUCGAUCGUCGGAGCUGGGUAUAGGGGCGAAAGACUAAUCGAACCAUCUAGUAGCUGGUUCCCUCCGAAGUUUCCCUCAGGAUAGCUGGCGUUCGUAUAUACGAGUCCCAUCCGGUAAAGCGAAUGAUUAGAGGCCUUGGGGUCGAAACGAUCUCAACCUAUUCUCAAACUUUAAAUGGGUGGGAACCGCGGCUUGCUUGAUUGCCUGAUUGAAGCCGCGGCCUCGGAUCGGAGUGCCCAGUGGGCCACUUUUGGUAAGCAGAACUGGCGCUGUGGGAUGAACCAAACGCCGGGUAAAGGCGCCCGAAUAAACGCUCAUUCCAAACCAUGAAAGGUGUUGGUUGCUUAAGACAGCAGGACGGUGGCCAUGGAAGUCGGAAUCCGCUAAGGAGUGUGUAACAACUCACCUGCCGAAGCAACUAGCCCUGAAAAUGGAUGGCGCUGAAGCGUUUUGCCUAUACCCGGCCGCCGGCGGCAAAGGGCGCGCCCCCUCGGGGGCGUGUCGCCAAGCCCCGGUGAGUAGGAGGGUCGCGACGGUGUGCGCAGAAGGGUCUGGGCGUGAGCCUGCCUGGAGCCGCCGUCGGUGCAGAUCUUGGUGGUAGUAGCAAAUACUCCAGCGAGGCCCUGGAGGACUGAUGUGGAGAAGGGUUCCGUGUGAACAGCCGUUGCACACGGGUCAGUCGAUCCUAAGCCCUAGGAGAAAUCCGAUGUUGAUGGUCGCGGGAUGUUUCGAUCGCUCGCGGGGCGCCGUUGAAUACACGCUCGAAAACCCAGUGCUCUAAAAGUCUUUUUCUCACCGUCGCCCCUGCGGCGGCGGCGCUUGGCCGGCCUUCCGAGGACCCGGCCUGGGCAGUACGCGCAGCGCAGACGGGACGCGCGCGCCCGCGGUUAACCGAGCAUGGACUCGCAAUACCCGCCGGACAUACAAAACCCCCAUUCCGUGGGAAACGAAGCCAGCGAAAGCAAGCUUUCUCUCUGGACCCCCCCGCAUGGCGAAGCCUCGUUCGUAGGAGAAACAGGAAACCUCUCGCGCCCUAAUAAGCCCUCGUCGGCUUGGCUUGAGGUGGAGUGUUCUCCUCGACGGGUGUGGAGUGCGGGUGUGGCGAAGGAUCGAGGUCGCGCGCCAAGUAGCGAGGUUCGUUUUUCUCUCGGAGGACGGUGGGGGCGACUGAGGUCCUGGCGGUGAGGCGUGUUGGAGCUCAGUGCCGCGCGGCGCGCAGUCGUCCUUUUGCUGUCGCUUAGGCGUGCGUUAACGACCCGGGCCGCGUCCGCUUGAGGAUUGUUUUGCUGGUCGUUGCGGAAGCGCCGCCGCCGUUUGCUUUGGGCAUUCGAAAGGGCGGUGAGAGUUGCCGAAAGGACUUUGGAGCGACGGGA